rnacentral:rRNA from 1 species
UACGUAGGGGGCAAGCGUUGUCCGGAAUUAUUGGGCGUAAAGAGCGCGUAGGCGGUCCGAUAAGUCGGCUGUGAAAGUCUAGGGCUCAACCCUGGAAAGCCGGCCGAUACUGUCGGACUAGAGUCCGGAAGAGGCAAGUGGAAUUCCUGGUGUAGCGGUGAAAUGCGCAGAUAUCAGGAAGAACACCCGUGGCGAAGGCGGCUUUCUGGGACGGUACUGACGCUGAGACGCGAAAGCGUGGGGAGCGAACAGG